rnacentral:rRNA from 1 species
UACAGAGGGUGCAAGCGUUAAUCGGAAUUACUGGGCGUAAAGCGCGCGUAGGCGGCUAAUUUAGUCGGGUGUGAAAGCCCCGGGCUCAACCUGGGAAUUGCAUCCGAUACUGAUUGGCUAGAGUAUGAGAGAGGGAGGUAGAAUUCCACGUGUAGCGGUGAAAUGCGUAGAUAUGUGGAGGAAUACCGGUGGCGAAGGCGGCCUCCUGGCUUAAUACUGACGCUGAGGUGCGAAAGCGUGGGGGAGCAAACAGG